rnacentral:lncRNA from 1 species
CAGGAACCAGCUCAGAGCCGGCUCUUGGUUAUGUGCCAUGCUACCAGAACCCUGAACAAAAGACUGAAGUUUUAAAGUAAUAUGAUCAAAAAUCUCUUGGCAGGGAAGAUGCAACUGGCUGCUUUGACAUGUAGGUUAUUUAGCCGGGAAUUUAUGUGUCAAAAGCUUAAAAGCUUCACUGAAGCAAAUUUAAGAAAGCGCCAUGUAUCCAACUAAUUAAGUCAUGUCAGCCAACUAUGAUUUAUUUCUCACCAUCACUCAUGUCUACAGCAGAAUUAUCUCAUUUUUGAUUUCUAAUGACUUUCUCUCUCAUUAAUCUGACCAUGAAUUAUUUUUUAUAUAAGUCUUUGGCAUCGAAGCAAAGAAUUUUCUUUUUAAUAAGAGCAGCAUCCCUGGGUAAUUCUGUGGUGUGCGUGGGAGGGGGCAGGGAGCCGGGAGCCCACUGGGGCUUUGGGGCAGGGCUGUAGCCCUCUCCCAGCCGUCCUGGUGGGCUUUACCCCGCGUCUUCCUCAGGACCUCAGCUUGGCCCUACUCCCUUAGACCCCUCUUUUCUUCUGGUACAAAGUUGGGUUUUGGCUUUUGAAGGCGUUUUCCUGCGCUUUGCAGAUAAUUUUGUCAAGUGCCUUGCAAGCAACAAUUCUGACUCUUCUGAUUCCCAAAGCAUCCUGGCUCUUCUCAUGGAUGCAGACUAUUGCCAAGGCUUUAAAUUUGGUUCCUCCACCUGUUGUGUGUAACUUUGUCCCAGGCAUGUGUGUCUUGAUCAUUGGAAGUGUCACUCUUUCUGAUUUACUGCUUUUGUUUGCAUCUUUAUACAUAUGUAUGCGUGUGUAUAUAUGUAUAUGCACUAAUGAUUUGUUAUCUGAAGAGUAGCUCAUUUUCCAGUCCCUGGAGUUCCCAUAGACUGGAUGACACAUGCAGUUUGCAGCCAGCAUCCCAACUCUGACCCCAGACAGCUCCCAGAACCACAGAGCUUUCUAUUCUGCUGCUUACAGCCUUCAAGAGGAAUUAGAGUUACAGCUGGUAUGGAUUUACCACGAUCUUCCCAUCCAUGUUCUCCUGGAUAAUCAACCAGUCUCCGGUGCUGAAUUCCCAAAGCUGGGCUCAUGAAGGAGCAGGAAGGGAAGUGAGCAGAUUCAUCAUGCUCAUGUGGCUUCAGACCAUAAAGCAGGUGGACUCUGGUGGGUGACGUUUAACUGCAAAACUGAAAAGGCCCCAGGCAGCCCAACCUGGAUCCAGGGCUGCACUUUUUGUGGUAGGCUCAAAAGGCACCACGUUGUGAGUGACCUGCUGGAGGAUCAUAGAAUCACAAAGGUUGGGAAAGACCUCUAAGANAACUGAAUUAAAAUAAUUCAAUUUUUCUUAGCAAGUCUUGCAUCCGGUGCAGAAUAAUUGAUGGAAUCUCUCAGAUUGCCCAUUUUUCAGAGGCAUGGAAUGGCAGGCAGAACUACGCACGGGGCGCAAGGUAGCGAUUGAAGAGGAAUUUGACCUGCAUGCCUCCAGCUUGUCAGGAUUUGAAUCAGCUGCUCCCAACCUCAGGCAACACAAAGACUAUAGGUGAGUCAUUUUUAAGAUGUAUAGUAAGUGCAGAUUUUAGUUUAAAAUUCCCAUAUACUUACUGAGUGUUGCAUCUGGAUGUGCUGAGAGCUGAGCUCAGGUGAAGGGGUUGAGCAGCUCUUUACCCUGCUCCCACCUUGCCUGGGUCCCAUUCAAAGCCAGGUGCUCCUGAAAGAUAAGAGUGAAGGUUUUGGGAUAGGGUUCUGAAUGUAGAGAAGCAUUUUUCUCUGAAGGAGGGAAGCUGAAGUCUUCUGGUGGCUCUGGGGACCUCUGGAAGGAGGAGGCUCUUGGAGAGCUGGAAUGAUGUGAUGGAGAAGCAGGUGAGGCUGAAAGAUUGGUGCUAACGAUGGUGAUUUCUGGGGUGGAUUUACUUUUAUCUCUUGUGGGCAAGGUGCAAAAGUUGGGUGUGGAACUUGUAGAGAUGAGUCUGCUUCAACAAAGGUACUGAUGAGGUCAGUAGGGAGUUUGUGGUUGUUGGAUUUGGGACCAAAAUGAUCUGUUUGAGGUAACCCUGAAGACUGAGAUGCUUUUUGCUUGGGCCUGGCUUCAGGGAGAGAUCACUUCUUGAGUUUUCCCAUGUUUUCCCUGGGACUGGUGUGUGCUGUGUACCUCCCAUACCCAGCUACUGGUGGCCCUGGUUCCCAAGCCACCAGGGAACCACAAUUGGGAUUGCUUUGCUUCUCUUCCUCAAUUAUCUGUGUUUUUCUUCCCCUUCAAAAAAAUCUCAAUUAGCCACUAGAUCUGAAUUAAUAGCUUUAACUAAAGCCCUUCUUUAUUAUCCUCCAAUUUCUCUCUGUGGCUAAGAAUCACAGUGUUAACUCUUAAUGCAUAUAUUCAAAAAGGUAAUAACAGUAAAUUAGUAAUAAAUCCUUCAGGCGUUUCUAUGGGAGACAAGUGUUCGGCACCUUGUUUAAUGGUGUCUUUAUUGGAGGGAGGAAUCCCUGUGUCAAACAUUAGUGUUGACACCUUUGGCUGGGAUAAAACUUCACAUCCACCGUGAGUUUGCAGAGCUUUGGGCCAACCAAGAUUCCCCAGAGUGAGGGUGAUGUAAUUUCACUAAGAGGGAUAUUCCAGAUCCUUGCAGGGCCCCAUGCACUGAUUCACUGGGAGGGACCAACCGGUGUUGAAGAUGGGAUAGCUUGGUGAGGAGAGUUUAGAAACGGGGAGAUCAACCAACCUAUCAGCCCUAUUUACUGCUGCUUCCCUUUGUUUUCAACGGGUCACAAUCCAGUCCUCUGUGACUUCUAGACCCCGACUUCUGCCUUCACAAAUGGGAUUUAAAUAGGAUUGCUGAAGUCAGCCACUAUCGCUGUAACGAUUCAGCUCAGAACUGAAGAGCAUCCUUGAGGAAUAUUUGCAACUGUUUAUACAGUCAGCUAUAAUUGUGAGGCUUGAUUUAUGCUCAUUGAAGUCUUCUGAGGUGCUUGAUGAGAAGCACUGCAGCAGCAUAAAGUAUUUCUGGUUAUUCAGGCUGCUCACAGC